UACAUGGGGUGCAAACGUUGCUCGGAAUUAUUGGGCGUAACGCGCACGUAGGCGGUUUGUCAAGUCGGAUGUGAAAUCCCUCGGCUCAACUGAGGAAGUGCAUCCGAAACUGGCAAGCUUGAGUACGAAAGAGGGUCGCGGAAUUCCCGGUGUAGAGGUGAAAUUCGUAGAUAUCGGGAGGAACACCGGUGGCGAAGGCGGCGACCUGGGUCGAUACUGACGCUGAGGUGCGAAAGCGUGGGAAGCAAACAGG
rnacentral:rRNA from 1 species